CCCUAAUCAGCCGCUCUCAUUACAAACGCUGAUUAAACUGCAAAUUAUCCAGCAGCGGCCCUGUUCCCGUCUACCAGCAGCUCGUUCAAUAUCAAUUAAGGCCGAGCGGCAAAGCCUGCAGCCUCCGAGAGCUUCCAACUGCCUGAUAGUGGCACUUAUUAGUUUGGAAAACUAGGAAAAUACUAAUAAUCAACAACCAAGGGGAAAGAGGAGGCAACCAGACAAAAGGAAGGCAGGAACGCAGCCGGAGAAAGGAGCGAGCGCGCCGCCUGCCCGCGCCCCCGCCUCCGCCCCCGCUCCUCUGGCCCCAGAUUUCCACGGCAGAGCGCUGCUCACAGAGGCUGCAAAAAUGCAGUCCUGCCGCCCCACCAGCACCCCGACGCGGGGCUGAGGUGUGAAGACAAAAGCUGCCUUUCUCUCCUCCUCCUCCCUCGCUGUCCGCCUAUCUUUCCUCGGGAGGGGGGCUGCAGGCGGGAGAAACUAGCCCUCCCCCUCUAAGCAUACUUGCAUUUGCCAGGGGAUGCGGUUGGGAUGGAGAAAGCAGCUGGAGAAAGGUCCUGCAAAGACUGUUCACGGAUGGGACUGAAUCCCUUGGAGAACUCAGGAGACAACAGAAGACCUGCAAAAAUGUGUAGAGCUGGGAGCACGAGGACGGGUCCAUGAUCCACGUGAACACGGGGAGGCAGGGAAGACUUCAUGGAGGAGCCCCCCAGGACAGAGUUGUAUAUUCUAGUUACGGGUCCUUCUGGUUGUGCUACGUGGGAUGCCGCCUCAGCAUGGCCUGAUGAACGGUGUUCUGUUUGCACCCAGGAUCCAAACCGGUGAAACCCGGGGCCGCCAAAUUGGAGUGCGUGAACUCAACCACUCGAUCACAGGACCGGCCCCUUAACCCCAAACUUAAUUCUACCCUUCUUUCUUGCCUUUUCUCAGUUCAUUCCUGUUCUCCAUUCUCAUUCAGCUCCUACCUUUAUAUAAAUUCAUCUGUGUUGUUCACUGUUAUUUGUCUUUGUAGCCUUAUAUUCAUUUCCAAUUGGUUGCAAAAGCAAAAAUAGCGAUAAUGAAAGUCUAAAGGGCAAAGCAAGCGUCCAACUCAAGUAGUUGCUAGCUGCUGGCAACUGGUAGUUUGGUUUUUUACCCUGAAGCUUCCUUUUCUCCUUUUGAGUAUUUCACAAAGUAUUCAGGUAGCCUGCUCCAAUCAUUUUGUAACUGAGAGAUACAUUAUGGUCUAGAGAGACAAUGUGUCCUGAACAUUCUCUCCCACUAAUUUUUUUUUCCUGUUAGAACUGUUAACGUGUGGCUGCUUGAUUUGUGUGAUAUUCAGCCAAACUUCACUAACCAUUUUCAAAGCAGUGCUUGUAAAACAUUCAUUUUUUUUGUCUUUACUUAUGGAAAUUAACUUUUAUAAAGCAAAGAAAGCAAAAUUUCAUCGUGUGUAAUAGUGCAAACAAAUUUAAAUUAUAUAUCAGUCCUGUAGGCAUUAAUUUUUAUUUACUGUGUUAAACAAUAUUGCAUUUCAAAUGUUUAUUCUCCAAUGAUUUGGUGAAGACAAAUUCUCAUUUUUUAAAUAAAGAAUUGAAUAUGCUAAUAAACCCUUUUCUGUAA
rnacentral:lncRNA from 1 species